AAAGGGGCCGCCGCGCGCAGGCUGGGGGGAGCGGGGCGGCAGCAAAGUUACCUGGAAGAGUCGGGGUGGGAGGGUUAAGAACCUCUAUUCUCUCCUCACCGGGCUGCAGCGCUUUCCCAGCUCUUUGUACUUAUUAAUUUCCUCGUCCUGCAGCCUAGCAACAACUGGAGAAGGAACCUGAUCCUGCCAGAGGAAGAAACUGAGGCGCCGAGAAUCAGAGGUCUGCUUCUGGGCAAAUUCACUCACAUUUGGGUUUUAGAGGGACGUCAGACACACAUACCCCUCAAAUCCCAGAAAUUGGCUUUAAAAGGAACAUGCUCAGCUUCACUCUGGAGGAUUUUAACAAGCAGAUUCCUAGGUUUUACCCCAGAACUUCUAAUUCUCUAUGUCUGCAAUGGGACUGGGGAAAAUAUACAUUUUUCAACUCCCCUCCCCCCGAGGUGAUUCUGAUGUGCGUGGUACAAGAGCCACACUCAGGUGCAGAAACCGAAGCUCGCAGAGGAAAUUGAUGUGUCCAAGAUCACAGAUUAGCAACAGAAGCAAAUAUCACUAAUCUUCACCAAAAGACAGAGUAAUAAUAUAAGAGCAUUGCCUUAGAGUCAAAGUUCCACUGCUUUAACUUACCAUCUGUUUAACCUUGAAGAAGUUAUAUAAUUAAAUCUCUUUGAGCCUCAGCUUUCUUAUCUGUAAAAAUGGGAAAAGAACACUUCUGUCUCUUUGGGCUGACAUGAAAAUCAAACAGAAGAAAAUAUAUGAAUAUAUAUGGGCUUCGAA